GAUGGCCAAGAUGCACUGAUGAGUGGUAGAGAAAAAAUACGCCAAAGAAAGUCUCGCGACACAUCGGAGAAUCAUUGAGAAAAAUAUUCCAAAGAGUCUUUCUGCGCAAAGCAUCUCUCAGUUUUUUUUUCGAUGAUUGCCAUAUAUCAGAAGCUUCCUGAUGGGUGUGGAAUUUUGUCUUGGGGCAUGAGAAAUUUUGAAGGGCAUGA
rnacentral:lncRNA from 1 species